GACAGAGGGUGCAAACGUUGUUCGGAAUUACUGGGCGUAAAGCGCGUGUAGGCGGCUAAGUAAGUCGGGCGUGAAAUCCCACGGCUCAACCGUGGAAGUGCACUCGAAACUGCAUAGCUAGAGUCCUGGAGAGGAAGGUGGAAUGCUUGGUGUAGAGGUGAAAUUCAUAGAUAUCAAGCGGAACACCGGUGGCGAAGGCGGCCUUCUGGACAGUGACUGACGCUGAGACGCGAAAGCGUGGGGAGCAAACAGG
rnacentral:rRNA from 1 species